AUUGAACGCUGGCGGCAUGCUUUACACAUGCAAGUCGAACGGCAGCACGGGUGCUUGCACCUGGUGGCGAGUGGCGGACGGGUGAGUAAUACAUCGGAACGUAUCCAGAAGAGGGGGAUAACGCAUCGAAAGAUGUGCUAAUACCGCAUAUUCUCUGAGGAGGAAAGCAGGGGGAUCGAAAGACCUUGCGCUUUGGGAGCGGCCGAUGUCUGAUUAGCUAGUUGUGGGGUAAAGGCCUACCAAGGCGACGAUCAGUAGUUGGUCUGAGAGGACGACCAGCCACACUGGGACUGAGACACGGCCCAGACUCCUACGGGAGGCAGCAGUGGGGAAUUUUGGACAAUGGGCGCAAGCCUGAUCCAGCAAUGCGCGUGAGUGAGAAGGCUCGGUGUAAG
rnacentral:rRNA from 1 species